AGAGUUUGAUCAUGGCUCAGAGUGAACGCUGGCGGCAGGCCUAACACAUGCAAGUCGAGCGGCAGCACGGGUAGCAAUACCUGGUGGCGAGCGGCGGACGGGUGAGGAAUACAUCGGAAUCUGCCUUGUCGUGGGGGAUAACGUAGGGAAACUUACGCUAAUACCGCAUACGACCGAGAGGUGAAAGCGGGGGAUCGCAAGACCUCGCGCGAUGAGAUGAGCCGAUGUCGGAUUAGCUAGUUGGCGGGGUAAAGGCCCACCAAGGCGACGAUCCGUAGCUGGUCUGAGAGGAUGAUCAGCCACACUGGAACUGAGACACGGUCCAGACUCCUACGGGAGGCAGCAGUGGGGAAUAUUGGACAAUGGGCGCAAGCCUGAUCCAGCCAUGCCGCGUGGGUGAAGAAGGCCUUCGGGUUGUAAAGCCCUUUUGUUGGGGACGAAAUCGUACGGGCGAAUAUCCCAUGCGGAUGACGGUACCCAAAGAAUAAGCACCGGCUAACUUCGUGCCAGCAGCCGCGGUAAUACGAAGGGUGCAAGCGUUACUCGGAAUUACUGGGCGUAAAGCGUGCGUAGGCGGUUUGUUAAGUCCGUUGUGAAAGCCCUGGGCUCAACCUGGGAAUUGCAGUGGAUACUGGCGAGCUAGAGUGCGGUAGAGGAUGGUGGAAUUCCCGGUGUAGCGGUGAAAUGCGUAGAGAUCGGGAGGAACACCCGUGGCGAAGGCGGCCAUCUGGACCAGCACUGACGCUGAGGCACGAAAGCGUGGGGAGCAAACAGGAUUAGAUACCCUAGUAGUCC
rnacentral:rRNA from 1 species